UAGAGAAGUGAGAAUGCGGUCUGGCAUUCAAAAGGUUUCAGUUUCUUAAAAAAAAUUAAAAAGAUUCUGACUUCUUCAAGGUCAUAUUGGAAACCUGGAGCAAAGUAAGGUCUCAAGUUCCAGGCUAGUGCCCUCCACACAGUGAAUAAUGUGCUAGGUAAUAUACUGCUGGAAGAAAUUGCUGAAAUGCCUUUUGGGGAAAGGAAAAAAAGAAAAAAAGAAAAAGGAUUCAUAUCCUUUUGAAAAAAAAGAAAAUAUGUUAGAUGUGUACAGGUUUGAACCUUCAUUCAUCUGCCAUUACUUUUGUUGAGAAUUGAAAGCAUGUAGUAUGUUGCAGGACUGUUCACCUACAUACUGGUCCUUAGAAAUGUAUGAGUGCUUUUUAUUCUGCCAAAUAAAUUCAUGCUGUAGGGUACAAUCACUGUUCAAGCACUCUUUAUUGGAAGUUGUCACUCAUGGAUUUGAAUUGCACAUUUUUCACCAAAUGAACUGAGAAAUCUUUACCCAGCUUUUUUCUACCUCUUUAUGAGAAUUGGACAUGUCACUUGACAAAGGAUCACUUUUUCAAAACACCUCCAUCCCAAAGCCUCCUUGGGUCUUAAACACACUGUUUUUCAUAUUGUAUGGGUUUGAUUCUGUUACCAACAAAGAAAAACUAACUGCAUUUUUUCUUUCUUAAAUUCAAGUUAAACAUAGGAAACAGUAAACACAAAUGCUGAAUUCAAGGUUUUGCAAAUGCAAGAGCUUAGACAUAAAACUAGGAGAAUUUUUACAGUAAUCUUAUGAGCUAUUCAAAAUGUCAGUCCAUUUUUUGUAUGAGGUGCUGAUAUAUUGAUCAUAUGCGAAAGCACAAAGCUUAAUAUACAGAGAAUAUGUAGCUUCUUGGUUUUUAUUGUUUCUAGGGUUAAAAAUUACAGAAAAAACAAUGUUCACAGCAGUGCAAAAAUUAUUGGGGCCUCUUUCACUUUCAUAUUGUAUCUGGUCUCUGUUUUGGAGGGAAAGACUGUGAGCUGUACACUGCAUUGACAGACACCAUGACUGUAAACUAGUGCUAAUAUGUAUUCUUGUGACUGUAAUGCACUUUUCUUUUUGCCCAGUGUUGCAGGCUGAGCAGCCAGACAGGUGACUGGGAAUAGCUGCUCUUCCUUUGUAUGUGGGGGAGCCUGAGAAGCAAAAACUUCCAAGAUAACAUGUGCAGUCUGAACAUCAAAGACAAUGGGUGGAAAAGAAGAAAAAGGAUGCAUAAACUCUGCCAACUUAAAGACAUCCUGCAACAUCUCACUUGGAUAAUUGGGUAACAUCAUUAACAAAACCCACAGAUCAUCUCCAUUUCAUGGCAUCAUGGCAUCAUCCAUUUCAGGGUAUCAUGGCAAUGGAGCCUCAGCCCUUGUCAUCCUUGGUUCCUGAAGCUGGUGAGGUUACUUCAGCCACAAGCCUCUGGACCAUAUUUCUUUGUCCAUGGCAAUGUCAUGACUUCCACAAGAAACCUUCCUAUGUGCCUACUAUGUGUUCACCCGUGUUUGGUAAGGAAUAUAUGUAUGGGACCUAGUGAUAAAUUAUGUUCAGCACAAUACUGGUGCAAAAAAAAAUCAGGCUUCAAGUAUUUAUUAGGGCUGUGUGCUGUUCUCUGCAGCCCAAUGGGAUUUAAAGUGGGUUCUCAUGUCUUUUUUAAAUAGGAGGAAAAAAAUUAAAUGCCGCAUUAUUAUUAAUAAUUGCAGGAAAAAUGAAAAUUUUAUUAUCAAGAGAAGUCUCUGUAACAAGUCUUUUCUUGAUGCAACUCACUCAGUUAGUUAUCACAUGCCCUAAGAAGCCUUUUUACAUCUUUCUUUCUAAUAAAAAUUCUUUCAUCCCUUUCUCUCAGACACUUCAGCUGUGUUAGCACAGUGAUACAAACCAUCCCUGGCCUGCUCUCUCUUGCUGUAGUAUAUUAAACUGCUCUUGGCUCUAUAAAUUUUCUUCAUAGGCUUGGCCAUAUCUUUGUCUUAAAUACUUUUCUGAAGUUUAUGGGAUCCUUCAUUUUUCAUGGAUCGUAAAGUUAGAAUGAACUGUUGAGGUAUCUGUUUUGCCCUCCCAGAUAAAACAUUCCACGUAAUUUCUCUGAAACAGAUUACACUUGGACGGAGCUGCCCCAGGCCUGUCUUACAGCUCUGUGGAGGCUCCUGCAGAAAUACCAGGGAAAUAUUUUGAUAGAAUACUUUCCUCACUUCUCUGGACUUUUUCUUGCCUGUUGGCACAAUUUCUGAUAGAAUCUCAGUAGUGCAGACCUGUGUAGCAAAUUUUAGAGUUUAUCAGAGGCGGUAGGGUGCCAGGACUGCCGGGUGCUCUGGAGGUCAUCACCUGCAAGCAAUUGUAGCAUGCAGCAUCUCUCUGCUGCACUCUUAAAAAGGUCCUGGAGCAAACUCUGGAAGGCACAAACAUGCCUGAUUUACAUUUGCUUGCUUAAUCUUAUGUCUACAAAUACAUUGGAAUAUGUGAGCCAGAGAUAAAUUGAUUAGGUUUUUACUUUAUGUAAACAAAAUCAAAGCUUCAUAAGGUUUUUGAAAUUCUAAGUUUGUUAGGAUAUGCUUUAUAAACUUCUUUUUUACUCUGUUUUCUUCUUCUUCAGGAAGAAGAAAAUGUAAAAUUAUAUGUAUUUUACAUAUAAUGGCAAGCAUAAAAUUUUCAUUUAAAAUAUGAGUUCACUGACUGAAAUACCAAUAAAAGAAAAAUAUACUUUUAUUUUUAAUUGCAUUAUCCUGUUGCAAGGAGGCUCUGUGAAAAUGUACAUGCUUUUCUGGUGAUUGUGUACACUAUGUUUCCAGCCUUGUAUUUCAUGGGGAAAGCUUUGCUGUUUCCAUAGGGAAAAAAAAAAAAAAAGGAUGUUGGCAAGAGAACAUGUUCUGGAAUAGAAUUAUUCCACUAUCACACUAAUGUGAGUUUCCAAGCAUUUCUGUGUGUGCGUGUGGAAUAGAGCCCUGUUAUAGCAGCUUUUUUUAUUGCAAAGCUUUAAAAAUAUGACUCAUGGGUGUUUUGUCAGUGGAAAUGUUUGUAAAAGAUGUUAGAGUAUAAUUUGUUUUCAAAUUGUCUGUUCACUCUGGUUUCAAAUGUUUAUAUACAAAUCACAUUCAAGAAUUUCUUGAUUCAAAUCAUCUGAACAUAAUAUGGUGUGCAUAAAAAAUGCUUCAUCACAUAUUUUGUUCACCUUUCCAUGUGAUAUCUGUUAUAGAAGAGAGGCCAUUUUUCAAAAUAAUGUGUGUUACGGUAGAAGUAGAAUUUAAACACCUUUUUUUUUGCUUAUCAGAAAAGCAUGUAAGUGCACACAUCAAUAAAUGAAAACUUUUCCAGUUAAAUAUAUAACUUAAAACCCUUAUGCUCAAAGGGUAAAUUGAUAAUAAGACUAUCAGUACCACUGACCAAUGAGUAAUUGGAAUAAAGGUAGAAAAAGUACCAACAAAAAAUAUUAUGAAUUUAAUAAUGUAUACAUAAAGUCAUUAUGAAUGUUGAAGUGAGAACUUUUUUUUAUUACUAAACGUGACAGUAAUAUCAAAAUAUGCAAAAUCAAAAUCUAAACCUCUAUUAACCUCAGAACUCAUAGAACAAUGUAAAAAAUUUAUUUUUUAUAGGUGGAUUACUGCUGGUCUUCAUGAUAUUGACUGAAUAAAGGACACAAAAUAAAUCAGAAGGGGAAGGAAAGGGAUAUAGAGAAAAAUACACCUUUCAUACUUCAUGGAUGUAACCAGAUUUUUUAUUUCAACCUGUUUUUUUUACUUUACAGAACCACUGGGUUCCUGGUGAUGGAAUGAAGAUAGUUCAUUUCUGUUUAUUUAAUGGAAAUCUUUUUCUUAGUCCUGUAAUACGAUAAAUAAUGUUUUAUAUCUAACAAAGCGUUAAACAAACAAAAAAUCUUUGGAAAGUAUAAUUUGGCAGCACAUUUUUAUGUCACUUCUACCUCUCUGAUUCAUUAAUGUUUCACUGAUGUUUACAGCUACAAAGACAUAUUUAGUUUAUGGUAAUGCUGCUUGUUAUGAAAAUGAACCUGAAGCGUAUGGCAGGAUAUGUCCAAAAGUAAAUAAACAGUAAGGGG